AUGCAUGUCUCAGUACAAACCGCUUUAAGGCGAAACCGCGAAUGGCUCAUUAAAUCAGUUAUGGUUCCUUGGAUCUUACCCACACUUACAUGGAUAACUGUGGUAAUUCUAGAGCUAAUACAUGAACCUCGUGCCCCGACCAGUGAUGGAAGGGGUGCUUUUAUUAGAACAAAACCAAUCGGUCGGUCCUCCGUCCGUUGCCUUGGUGACUCUGAAUAACUUUUGGCUGAUCGCACGGUCCUAGCACCGGCGACGCAUCUUUCAAAUGUCUGCCUUAUCAACUUUCGAUGGUAGGUUCUGCGCCUACCAUGGUUGUAACGGGUGACGGGGAAUCAGGGUUCGAUCCCGGAGAGGGAGCCUGAGAAACGGCUACCACAUCCAAGGAAGGCAGCAGGCGCGCAAAUUACCCACUCCCGGAACGGGGAGGUAGUGACGAAAAAUAACGAUACGGGACUCAUCCGAGGCCCCGUAAUCGGAAUGAGAACACUUUAAAUCCUUUAACGAGGAUCUAUUGGAGGGCAAGUCUGGUGCCAGCAGCCGCGGUAAUUCCAGCUCCAAUAGCGUAUAUUAAAGUUGUUGCGGUUAAAAAGCUCGUAGUCGGAGGUGUGUCUCGGACGGUCGGUUCGCCGCUUGCCGGUGUUCAACUGGCCGGUCCGGACGUCCUGCCGGUGGGGCCGCGAGGCUCCGUUAUCCUUCUUUGGUCCUCUUCACCGAGUGCCUUGGUGGGCCGGCACGUUUACUUUGAACAAAUUAGAGUGCUCAAAGCAGGCCGUUGGUCGCCUGAAUACUGUGUGCAUGGAAUAAUGGAAUAGGACCUCGGUUCCAUUUUGUUGGUUUUCAGAACUCGAGGUAAUGAUUAAUAGGGACGGACCGGGGGCAUUCGUAUUGCGACGUUAGAGG
rnacentral:rRNA from 1 species